UACGGGGGGUGCGAGCGUUGUCCGGAAUCAUUGGGCGUAAAGCGCGUGUAGGCGGCUGGGUAAGUCCGCUCUGAAAGCCCGGGGCUCAACCCCGGGAGGCGGGUGGAUACUGCUCAGCUCGAGUCCGGAAGAGGAGUGUGGAAUUCCUGGUGUAGCGGUGAAAUGCGCAGAUAUCAGGAGGAACACCAAUGGCGAAGGCAGGUCGUCUGGUACGUGACUGACGCUGAGACGCGAAAGCGUGGGGAGCGAACAGG
rnacentral:rRNA from 1 species